GGUUGAACCGUACGGGGAGGCAAGACAGGGGAAAGAACAACUCUAAUUCAUUUAUCGGGGUGGCUACUUACUAGAUCAGGCAAUCUCCUUCUAAACUGUUUGGGGUUGUUAGUAUUGGGUACAGACUCAGGUAAUGUAUUGGUGCUUAGCCAAGAUGAGGUCUUCAGCCAACUGAGCAUGUUCUAGCACCUCUGCAUAUGAGGUUGGUCUAAGCAUCACAACCCGGUUAUAGAUGUCGACAUGAAGGCCCUU
rnacentral:lncRNA from 1 species